GCAGUAGGGAAUAUUGGGCAAUGGGCGAGAGCCUGACCCAGCCAUGCCGCGUGCAGGAAGAAGGCUUUCUGAGUCGUAAACUGCUUUUGACAGGGAAGAAUAAGCUGGACGUGUCCAGUGAUGACGGUACCUGCAGAAUAAGCACCGGCUAACUCCGUGCCAGCAGCCGCGGUAAUACGGAGGGUGCGAGCGUUGUCCGGAUUUAUUGGGUUUAAAGGGUGCGUAGGCGGCCGUUUAAGUCUGGGGUGAAAGCCCGCUGCUCAACAGCGGAACUGCCCUGGAUACUGGAUGGCUUGAGUACAGACGAGGUUGGCGGAAUGGACAGAGUAGCGGUGAAAUGCAUAGAUACUGUCCAGAACCCCGAUUGCGAAGGCAGCUGACUAGGCUGUUACUGACGCUGAGGCACGAAAGCGUGGGGAGCGAACAGGAUUAGA
rnacentral:rRNA from 1 species